UACGUAGGGCGCAAGCGUUGUCCGGAAUUAUUGGGCGUAAAGAGCUCGUAGGCGGCUUGUCGCGUCGAUUGUGAAAGCCCGGGGCUUAACUCCGGGUCUGCAGUCGAUACGGGCAGGCUAGAGUGUGGUAGGGGAGAUCGGAAUUCCUGGUGUAGCGGUGAAAUGCGCAGAUAUCAGGAGGAACACCGGUGGCGAAGGCGGAUCUCUGGGCCAUUACUGACGCUGAGGAGCGAAAGCGUGGGGGAGCGAACAGG
rnacentral:rRNA from 1 species